rnacentral:rRNA from 1 species
UACGUAGGGACCGAGCGUUGUCCGGAUUCAUUGGGCGUAAAGAGCUCGUAGGCGGCCACUCAAGUCGAAUGUGAAACCUCGAGGCUUAACCUCGAGCCUGCAUUCGAUACUGGGCGGCUAGAGUCUGGUAGGGGGAUCUGGAAUUCCUGGUGUAGCGGUGGAAUGCGCAGAUAUCAGGAGGAACACCGGUGGCGAAGGCGGGAUCCUGGGCCAGUACGUGACGCUGAGGAGCGAAAGCGUGGGGAGCAAACAGG